ACACGUGAGUAACCUGCCCCAGACUCUGGGAUAACCCCGGGAAACCGGAGCUAAUACCGGAUAUGACAUCAACUCGCAUGAGUAUGGUGUGGAAAGUUUUUCGGUCUGGGAUGGACUCGCGGCCUAUCAGCUUGUUGGUGAGGUAGUGGCUCACCAAGGCGACGACGGGUAGCCGGCCUGAGAGGGCGACCGGCCACACUGGGACUGAGACACGGCCCAGACUCCUACGGGAGGCAGCAGUGGGGAAUAUUGCACAAUGGGCGGAAGCCUGAUGCAGCGACGCCGCGUGAGGGAUGACGGCCUUCGGGUUGUAAACCUCUUUCAGCAGGGAAGAAGCGCAAGUGACGGUACCUGCAGAAGAAGCACCGGCUAACUACGUGCCAGCAGCCGCGGUAAUACGUAGGGUGCGAGCGUUGUCCGGAAUUAUUGGGCGUAAAGAGCUUGUAGGUGGUUUGUCGCGUCUGCUGUGAAAAUCCGAGGCUCAACCUCGGACUUGCAGUGGGUACGGGCAGACUAGAGUGUGGUAGGGGAGACUGGAAUUCCUGGUGUAGCGGUGGAAUGCGCAGAUAUCAGGAGGAACACCGAUGGCGAAGGCAGGUCUCUGGGCCAUUACUGACACUGAGAAGCGAAAGCAUGGGGAGCGAACAGGAUUAGAUACCCUGGUAGUCCAUGCCGUAAACGUUGGGAACUAGGUGUGGGUCUCAUUCCACGAGAUCCGUGCCGCAGC
rnacentral:rRNA from 1 species